rnacentral:rRNA from 1 species
AUGCAAGUCGAACGGUAACAUUUCUAGCUUGCUAGAAGAUGACGAGUGGCGGACGGGUGAGUAAUGCUUGGGAACUUGCCUUUGCGAGGGGGAUAACAGUUGGAAACGACUGCUAAUACCGCAUAAUGUCUACGGACCAAACGGGGCUUAGGCUCCGGCGCAAAGAGAGGCCCAAGUGAGAUUAGCUAGUUGGUAAGGUAAAGGCUUACCAAGGCAACGAUCUCUAGCUGUUCUGAGAGGAAGAUCAGCCACACUGGGACUGAGACACGGCCCAGACUCCUACGGGAGGCAGCAGUGGGGAAUAUUGCACAAUGGGGGAAACCCUGAUGCAGCCAUGCCGCGUGUGUGAAGAAGGCCUUCGGGUUGUAAAGCACUUUCAGUUGUGAGGAAAAGUUAGUAGUUAAUACCUGCUAGCCAUGACGUUAACAACAGAAGAAGCACCGGCUAACUCCGUGCCAGCAGCCGCGGUAAUACGGAGGGUGCGAGCGUUAAUCGGA